UACGAAGGGGGCUAGCGUUGUUCGGAAUUACUGGGCGUAAAGCGCGCGCAGGCGGUCUUCCAAGUCAGUGGUGAAAGCCUGGAGCUCAACUCCAGAACUGCCAUUGAAACUGUUAGACUUGAGUACGAGAGAGGUGAGUGGAAUUCCCAGUGUAGAGGUGAAAUUCGUAGAUAUUGGGAAGAACACCAGUGGCGAAGGCGGCUCCCUGGCUCGUAACUGACGCUCAGGCGCGAAAGCGUGGGGAUCAAACAGG
rnacentral:rRNA from 1 species